rnacentral:rRNA from 1 species
GACGAACGCUGGCGGCGUGCCUAAUACAUGCAAGUAGAACGAGUGGCGGACGGGUGAGUAAUGUCUGGGAAACUGCCCGAUGGAGGGGGAUAACUACUGGAAACGGUAGCUACUACCGCCUACCAUCGGAUGUGCCCAGAUGGGAUUAGCUAGUAGGUGGGGUAACGGCUCACCAAGGCGACGAUCCCUAGCUGGUCUGAGAGGAUGACCAGCCACACUGGAACUGAGACACGGUCCAGACUCCUACGGGAGGCAGCAGUGGGGAAUAUUGCACAAUGGGCGAAAGCCUGAUGCAGCCAUGCCGCGUGUAUGAAGAAGGCCUUCGGGUUGUAAAGUACUUUAAGUGGGGAGGCGUUACCAGCAGAAGAAGCACCGGCUAACUCCGUGCCAGCAGCCGCGGUAAUAC